AGGUCAGCUCAGACCCCUGCUGGUCCCCCCUUCGUUCUCGCCAGCCCCCUGCUCUGAGAAGCCUCCCCAGACUCCCACAGCUGGUGCCGACCUCAGUGGGCAAGGCCGGGGCCUGACUGCUGAGCCCAGACCCAGAGAUGAAGUCUCAGUGCCCGCUUUGGCCCUGGGCUCUGUCUGAUUUCCUGUCCCCCUCGGACCCUCCCCAAGGGAAAUGGCAGCAGCCAGCCCUCCGCAGGCGUCUGCAGGUGGGGACUCCACCCUCAACGAGCCCUGGCUCUUGGGAACCUGCCCAGUGAGGACCAGCUGGGGCCACCACCAGGACUGGGGGCCUGCAUCCCCGGGGUGACAGCCAUCAACCCACGAGGCCAGCAGGCCAGAUAGCGCCUGGGACUGGGCACACAGCGGCACGGCCCACGCCUCUCCGUGGCCCUCCUCCCAGGGGUACAGCACUCCUUCCCUUACAGGUGAGGAAGCUGAGGCUCAAAGGCUCCUACGGGUCCCAGGAUACUGAGAGAGAAGUGGGAAGGUUCACAGCCAUGAGGCCCGCGUGGUCACAUUCCACGGCCAGGCCACCGAGGGGCUCAGAAAGGUGAAGCCAGUGAGCAAAGCCACACAGCUGGCCGGGGCCAGCGCGGCACAGGCCCGCACGCUUCCUGGAGCAGGACGCAGGUGACUUGCUGCCACCAAGCAGCCGCUAGAUGAGGCUCCACCUGCCCGAGGUCCCGCUCCUUCCCCAGUGAGCUCGGCCUCCAUCAAACCAGGCCCCAGUGCAGGAGAGCUGCACAGAGUCUGCACCAAAUCCCUGGAUGUGGACAGACCUGGCUCCCAGAGCUCACCGCCCAGCACGGGGCCUGGCCAUGGCUGGUAUUCAUUAAUCACAGGGGCCGGGCGGGAGGUUCGCCCAAGAUGCAGGUACAAGAUCUUCUCAUGUAAUUCCCCCAAACUGGCCCCAUAGCACCAGGUAGCUCCGUCCAUCAACCCAAUACCUUCCAGACCUCCUCUGCAAGGCUAUCCAGAACCUUCCACAUAUUCACACACCCCCCGAACUCUCCAGAACCUGCCACACAACCGCACACCAAUGUCUCCAGGACUCUCCACACAACCACACGCCUCUCACUCUCCAGACCCUCCCGCACGCCCCUCACUCCCUAGAACCUUCCACACAACCGCACACAUCCCUUUUGGAACCGGCGGGGGAUGGUGCCUGCUUAGGGAAUUCCUGGGAAACCCCCUUAGGUUUCCCCGCAGGGAAAACCCUGUUCACGCUCCCUGAAGCUCUGUUUGGGAAGUAGGUUUCAGGAUCCUCCUGAGGGACAUCUUUUGUUUUCCUAGAAACUCUAAGGCAGCUCUGGAAGAAGUGGCCCCUGUUGGUUUAGAGCGCAGCCCACCAGAGGUACAACUUCUCUCCUGCCGGGAAGAGCUUCCCACUAGUCACCUGCAGAGUGGGCAGCGAACAGCGAGAACCAUUGUGCAGAAAGCGCAGGAGCCCUUCGCCCAGCGGCCCCCGGAAGCCUCGCCCAGCCCUGGACGGUGUACCCACCCUAGCGAGUACGAGUCCUGGCGUUUGAGGAAGCACCACUUUAGGCCGGGCGCGGUGGCUCACACCCGUAAUCCCAGCACUUUGGGAGGCCGAGGCGGGUGGAUCACCUGAGGU